GAUGAACGCUGGCGGCGUGCCUAAUACAUGCAAGUCGAGCGAACGGACGAGAAGCUUGCUUCUCUGAUGUUAGCGGCGGACGGGUGAGUAACACGUGGAUAACCUACCUAUAAGACUGGGAUAACUUCGGGAAACCGGAGCUAAUACCGGAUAAUAUUUUGAACCGCAUGGUUCAAAAGUGAAAGACGGUCUUGCUGUCACUUAUAGAUGGAUCCGCGCUGCAUUAGCUAGUUGGUAAGGUAACGGCUUACCAAGGCAACGAUGCAUAGCCGACCUGAGAGGGUGAUCGGCCACACUGGAACUGGAACACGGUCCAGACUCCUACGGGAGGCACCAGUAGGGAAUCUGCCGCAAUGGGCGAAAGCCUGACGGAGCAACGCCGCGUGAGUGAUGAAGGUCUUCGGAUCGUAAAACUCUGUUAUUAGGGAAGAACAUAUGUGUAAGUAACUGUGCACAUCUUGACGGUACCUAAUCAGAAAGCCACGGCUAACUACGUG
rnacentral:rRNA from 1 species